AUUAUUUCGAUGAUCAGGACGAGUAAAUAAGUCUAAAAUGUUUUAGAGAGUCCGGGUUGGUGGAAACCGGAUACUGAAGCUUAUUGAAUAUCACCUGGGAGAUACUUACUGAAGCCAUAAAUGGGUGUAGGUAGGGUCGGUUAGUCCCGUUACAGACUCGUGGAGCGGUCAGUUGCCGGUAGGCUUUGAUUAUUAGGGUGGUACCGCGGGUAUUUUCCCGUCCCUUUC
rnacentral:ncRNA from 1 species